UACGGAGGGGGCGAGCGUUAUUCGGAAUCAUUGGGCGUAAAGGGCGCGUAGGCGGCCCGGUAAGUCAAAGGUGAAAUCCCUCGGCUCAACUGAGGAACUGCCUUUGAAACUGUCGGGCUUGAGGCCGGGAGGGGGUGGCGGAAUUCCCAGUGUAGCGGUGAAAUGCGUAGAUAUUGGGAGGAACACCGGUGGCGAAGGCGGCAUCCUGGACCGACACUGACACUGAGGAGCGAAAGCCAGGGGAGCAAACGGG
rnacentral:rRNA from 1 species